GAUGAAGAACGCAGCGAAAUGCGAUACUUGGUGUGAAUUGCAGAAUCCCGUGAACCAUCGAGUCUUUGAACGCAAGUUGCGCCCGAAGCCAUUAGGCCGAGGGCACGCCUGCCUGGGUGUCACACGUCGUUGCCCCCCCAUCUACUCCUUCGGGAUUGCGGGGGGCGGAUGAUGGCCUCCCGUGCGCCUCGUCGCGCGGUUGGCAUAAAUGCCAAGUCCUCGGCGACGCACGCCACGACAAUCGGUGGUUGCGAAACCUCGGUUGCCCGUCGUGUGCGGUCGUCGCGCAUCGAGGGCUCGAAAAAAUUGCCGGGCUCCGGCUCGGCUUUCAACGCGACCCCAGGUCAGGCGGGGUUACCCGCUGAAUUUAAGCAUUUCAAUAAGCGGAGGA
rnacentral:misc_RNA from 1 species